rnacentral:tRNA from 1 species
AGUUACUUAUCUUUAAGGAAAGAAGAUGUUUUGAAAGCAUCCCAAAAGAGUUCGAAUCUCUUAGUGACUU